rnacentral:rRNA from 1 species
GAUGAACGCUGGCGGCGUGCCUAAUACAUGCAAGUCGAACGAACAGACGCGGAGCUUGCGCCUUUGACGUUAGGGGCGCACGUGAGAGUAACACGUGGAUAACCUACCUAUAAGACUGGUAUCACUACGGGAAACCGGAGCUUAUCGCGGAUAAUAUAUUGCAGCGCAGUGUGCAAUAGUGAAAGACGGCUUUGCUGGCACUUAUAGAUGGAUCCGCGCCGCAUUAGCUAGUUGGUAAGGUAACGGCUUACCAAGGCAACUAGGCGUUGCCGAACUGAGAGGGGGAUAGCCCACACUGGAACUGAGACACGGUCCAGACGCCUACGGGAGGCAGCAGUCGGCAAUCUUCCGCAGUGGGCGAGAGCCUUACGGAGCAACCCCGCGCGAGUGGUGACGGUGUUGCGUGCGUAAAACUCUGUUACUGGGGAAGAACCAAUGUGGACGUAAAUGAGCACGUAGUGACGGUAACGAGUAAGAAAGCAACGGCUAACUACGUG